rnacentral:rRNA from 1 species
UACGGGGGGGGCAAGCGUUGUUCGGAAUUACUGGGCGUAAAGGGCUCGUAGGCGGCCAACUAAGUCAGACGUGAAAUCCCUCGGCUUAACCGGGGAACUGCGUCUGAUACUGGAUGGCUUGAGGUUGGGAGAGGGAUGCGGAAUUCCAGGUGUAGCGGUGAAAUGCGUAGAUAUCGGGAAGAACACCCGUGGCGAAGGCGGUUCUCUGGGACGGUACUGACGCUGAGACGCGAAAGCGUGGGGAGCGAACAGG